ACGGAGGAACGCGGGGGGCGCAGAGGAGACGGGCGAGGAGGAGGGGCACGGCCGGCGGCCCGGGCCGCGCGAAGGCGAGCACUCCGGAAGAGGCCGCGGGAGUGGCCCCCGCUCACGUCCCGACCGCUCGAGAGGCGCGUUGGCCUUGGCUCGCGGCAGGAGGAGGACGGUGCAGGAACGUGGGUGGCUGUGAUGGCAAGAGUCCGUUCGGGAGGUCCCAUCCAGGACAACCGCAAAUGCGCAGGUUUCUAGGUAGACUUGGGUUCGUUAGGUUCUCUAAGACUGUUGAGUCCAACCAAUGACUGAGCACCAACCUUGUCAACUAGACCAAAGCACUGGGUGCGACAUCCAAACACUUGCAGGGAUGAUGUCUCCACCACGCUCCUGGGCAACCCAUUCCAAUAUCUAAUCAGUCCUCCUGUGAAGAAAUUCUUCCUAAUGUCCAACCUAUACCUGUCCUGGCACAGCUUAAGACUGUGUCUUCUUGUCCUAGUGCAUGUUGCAAAUAAACAUACUUUCUGAUGGGCUUCAAAUUCA